UUUCCUACGGGGCGCAGCAGUGGGGAAUAUUGCACAAUGGGGGAAACCCUGAUGCAGCAACGCCGCGUGAGUGAAGAAGUAUCUCGGUAUGUAAAGCUCUAUCAGCAGGGAAGAAAAUGACGGUACCUGACUAAGAAGCCCCGGCUAACUACGUGCCAGCAGCCGCGGUAAUACGUAGGGGGCAAGCGUUAUCCGGAUUUACUGGGUGUAAAGGGAGCGUAGACGGUGUGGCAAGGCUGAAGUGACA
rnacentral:rRNA from 1 species